rnacentral:rRNA from 1 species
CGUUGUUCGGAUUUACUGGGCGUAAAGCGCACGUAGGCGGCUUGUUAAGUCGGGGGUGAAAUCCUGGAGCUCAACUUCAGAAUUGCCUUCGAUACUGGCUUUCUAGAGGCUGGAAGAGGUUAGUGGAAUUCCCAGUGUAGAGGUGAAAUUCGUAGAUAUUGGGAAGAACACCAGUGGCGAAGGCGGCUAACUGGUCCAGAUCUGACGCUGAGGUGCGAAAGCGUGGGGAGCAAACAGG